rnacentral:rRNA from 1 species
GAUGAACGCUGGCGGCGUGCCUAAUACAUGCAAGUCGAGCGAACGGACGAGAAGCUUGCUUUUCUGAUGUUAGCGGCGGACGGGUGAGUAACACGUGGAUAACCUACCUAUAAGACUGGGAUAAAUUCGGGAAACCGGAGCUAAUACCGGAUAAUAUUUUGAACCGCAUGGUUCAAAAGUGAAAGACGGUCUUGCUGUCACUUAUAGAUGGAUCCGCGCUGCAUUAGCUAGUUGGUAAGGUAACGGCUUACCAAGGCAACGAUGCAUAGCCGACCUGAGAGGGUGAUCGGCCACACUGGAACUGAGACACGGUCCAGACUCCUACGGGAGGCAGCAGUAGGGAAUCUUCCGCAAUGGGCGAAAGCCUGACGGAGCAACGCCGCGUGAGUGAUGAAGGUCUUCGGAUCGUAAAACUCUGUUAUUAGGGAAGAACAUAUGUGUAAGUAACUGUGCACAUCUUGACGGUACCUAAUCAGAAAGCCACGGCUAACUACGUG